UACAGAGGUCUCGAGCGUUAGGCGGAAUCACUGGGCUUAAAGCGUGUGUAGGCGGAUCGUUAAGUGCCUUGUGAAAUCCCACGGCUCAACCGUGGAACUGCUUGGCAUACUGGCGGUCUUGAGCAACCUAGGGGCGAGCGGAACAAACGGUGGAGCGGUGAAAUGCGUAGAUAUCGUUUGGAACGCCAAUGGUGAAAACAGGUUGCUGGGAGUGUGCUGACGCUGAGACACGAAAGCCAGGGGAGCGAACGGG
rnacentral:rRNA from 1 species